rnacentral:rRNA from 1 species
UACGUGAGGUGCAAGCGUUGUCCGGAAUUAUUGGGCGUAAGAGCUCGUAGGCGGUCUGUUGCGUCGGCUGUGAAAACCCGGGGCUCAACUCCGGGCCUGCAGCCGAUACGGGCAGACUAGAGUUCGGCAGGGGAGACUGGAAUUCCUGGUGUAGCGGUGAAAUGCGCAGAUAUCAGGAGGAACACCGGUGGCGAAGGCGGAUCUCUGGGCCAUUACUGACGCUGAGGAGCGAAAGCGUGGGAGCGAACAGG